UCUUUGCUUCACUUACUUGUGCAAGAAAAGGUUCUGUGUUCAAACUUGGCCAAACAACUGCAGAAAAAAGUUGACUCAUUCUGUUUCUACUGCCUGUUUUAUCUCUUCCAGCUUCCUCUACGGCGGCUCCCAUUUCGCCUUCAGCCCGUAAAGCUCCGUUUCGUCCCGCUUCACCACGCCGCAGGAGGAAGAACCGCAAACGCAUCAGCAAAGCAGCCAUUAGAGCUAUGAUCAUGUAAACCUGCAAGGAAGAUUUCAGCCAGAAACAUUGCUCCAAAGGAAUGUGGAAACACCAGAAGAAUGGGUUUCUUAAACGUUGGACAGUCCGGACUGUGUGGACAGAGCUGAGGGUGCAAACAGUGCUGCUGUUUUCAAUGGACGGCUUCACACGGAGUCACCUGCUCCAGAGAUGCCGCGGCCCAUCCAGCGUUAAGGAUUUUAUAAAAGUGCAAUCAUAUGAACUCUGUGGACCAGAGGGUGUUUGACACACUGGAUUUUAUUUGGUUGAACCACAAGUCCAGCUGAUCUGGACUGAUGAGUGGAAGUGUGUGAGGUGCUGAAACAGAGUCGACUCUUUUUGCAGUUUGCAGCCAUUGAUUGGCGACUGUAACACCUUUCACUUCAACCUUGUGGUUCAUCAGAUGGAGAACCCGACUUGGACUUGGAAGUUAAGUGUUUGGGUCUCGAUUUGAGACUGGAGACGUGGAGAACUGGAUUUUUACACUGGGGUGAUAACUGGAAACUGCAGAGUGCAGCUCAGGCCUCAAUGCCAAACCUUACUCUUAUCCUAAAAUGUCUAAAGUUAUCUAACACUGGAGUAGCCGUACACUGACCAUACAACACUGACUUUAGAGAAGUGCUCUACCGUGUACUGUAGCUAAAUAUACUGGAAAAUAUCGAUAACCUGCUCAUUUUGUACUACUGCCAGAUCAAAAUGGAAUGGAAUAACAGCUAAAUGCCUGCUUAGAUAACCUGCUAUGAAUAUCCACAUUAAAGCAAGUCUUAAAGACCUGGCCUGUUAGAGAUCGCUGUGAGCCAGUUAUAGCCAACACUGUAUUGUAUAAAUGCUUUUAGAAAAUGAUCUCCACGGGGAAAAAAGAAAAACUUUAUUUCUUAACUUAUUUAAAAAAAGGGGGGAUGUGAAAUCCUCUGGUUCUCAAGUGUAAUUAUUGUUGUUUCAGAUUAUAAUUAUUGGUUGUACAACUGUUACUGUAAUGAAUGUUAUUUUUAAUAUAAAAUAAAAAUAUUGAAUGAA